AGCAGCCGCGGUAAUUCCAGCUCCAAUAGCGUAUAUUAAAGUUGUUGCAGUUAAAAAGCUCGUAGUUGAAUUUCGGGAUCAAUACGUCGGUCGUGCUUCGGUACGUACUGGCGUAAUUGAUUUCUCCCUUCUGACGAACCAUGAUGUCAUUAACUUGGUGUCAUGGGAAAUCAGGACUGUUACUUUGAAAAAAUUGAGUGUUUAAAGCAGGCUCACGCUUGAAUACAUUAGCAUGGAAUAAUGAAAUAGGACGUUCGAUUCUAUUUUGUUGGUUUCUAGGAUCGAUGUAAUGAUUAAUAGGGAUAGUUGGGGGCAUUAGUAUUCAAUUGUCAGAAGUGAAAUUCUUGGAUUUAUUGAAGACUAACUACUGCGAAAGCAUUUGCCAAGGAUGUUUUCAUUAAUCAAGAACGAAAGUUAGGGAUCGAAGACGAUCAGAUACCGUCGUAGUCUUAACCAUAAACUAUGCCGACUAGGGAUCGGAUGAUGUUAAUUUUUAAUGUACUUCAUUC
rnacentral:rRNA from 1 species